AGGUACUCACCUGUGAAAAAUCAUACCAUGGUGUUUAGUUUUCUCCUACUGGAAAAGUCGAAAUGCAGCAUCUGGUAUUUUAUAUAGAAACAGAAACCGACACGUUAAAUCCAGCUGAAGCAAGUGCUAAAGAGACAAAACCUGCAGUUCCUCCAAUGUCCACCAGAGGCUCCCAUUUAAAACCAUCCACUUUACAGCCUGGUUAAAAAAACAUGCUGCCUCUAUUAACAUUUUUCCAUUUAACAACAGCUUUGCAGAGAAUUAUGUUUUACAAUGAUUUAUGUUCACUUCAGGCUCCAAAAGUGAACAAGAUGGUAAUGUUUAGGCUUCAAAAUGCAGGAACAGUUGACAGCAUUGACAUCACUAAUGAUUCAGGUCAUAAUCUAUUAAAGCAUAUAUUAUUUCAUCCAUUAAUCUUCAAACAGAGAUUCUGAUCUCAGUACCACCAGAUCUGAUGGUUCUCCACGCUGAAGAUGUUACUGAUCAGUCGGUCUUCUGUGGGUGAUGGUAAUGUGGGGUUUACACAAACCACUUGUUCACCACUUUGGUGGUGAUGCGAUAGAAGUAUUAGAUCUUAUGAAUUCUAUGACACUAAGCUUCUAGUUCCCACAGCUGCCACCUUCCAAUUCCCAUGUUUCACACUGAUGCACACUCCCCAACUUCAGGCAAUGACAUAUAUGCUCUUGAUGCAGAUCCCCAACAUCUGCCUCCACAUCCACACACAAUGCGGCUCAGGUGGUAGAGCAGGUCAUCUCCCAAUUGGAAGAUUGGCGGAUGGUUCCUGAUGCUGAACUCAAGAGUUUCCCCUGGUGCAUCCAUCAGAGUCUUCAUCUCAUCCUGUUUGUGCAAAGUGAAGUGCACGGCAAAGUCCAGGUCGCUGAGGCCUUUCUAAACAGCUUCAGGGCGACAAAGAAGAGGAGCAGAGAUAGGACACAGCCUUGUCUGUGAUGCUGAAGAAGUCCCAUUGACCAUUUCUUGGUUUUGCAGCUCAAUCGUCGACACAGAUCUUUGAAUAUGAGGCAGUCAUGAGCCCCUCCUCUGUUGAUAUUACAAGAAUAAAGCUGGAAUCAUCAUAACGUGCUGGCAGGAAACAGUUGGCGAUCGGCCUGCCGCAGCCACAAACGGCCCUCCGGCCCGGAAGCUUCUGCUCGUGUCAUGCAAACUGUUGCAGCAGCACCUCCUGGAGGUCAGACUCGGUACUGGCAGAAACAUCAACAUGCUACAUGACUGAAGACACUGGAGGAGACCCAGAAUACUGACAGCAGUACCCCGCUGAUAGUACAACACUGUGCACAGCAGCACUCACAGAGGUCACGGGUCCAGCAAGCGUUUCCCAUGAGCUGACCACGCCCACAAACACAUAUUCAAAGGAUUUCUGUGGGUUUAACCCCCUCCGGCUGGACUGCAGCCAUGCUACUAUUAAACUGAAACACUGAGACUUUAAGUUUGUUCUUCAACUGAUAAGAAAACACCUCCAUCUAUCGAUGCUAACAAUUUAACAUUUAAGUAUUACUCAGCACGGUGCACGCUAAAGUGUUAGCACGACGUACCAAGAAUACAAGAAACUCCGCCUUCUCCUGGUUGUAUUUGGGAAUCCAUCCAUCAGAAGCUUAAAGGGGACCGAUUAUGCUUUGUUAGUUUUUUAUUGUACGUUACGUACAGUUACGAUGGCGUAUUAGUGCCAUGCCAAAACAUGGAAAAGGGUUAAAAAGAAUAAAACUGAAAUUCUUUUUUCAAGGGUGGUUUCAACAACACAGUUCAGGAACACAGUCUAACAACUGCAAGGAUGUGUGUCCUCUCUACACCGCGCUUCAACGUUAUUCUCAAUAUUGAAACUUUAUUCUUGAAAUCUUGACUCUCAUAAGCUUUACUUUGUUUCUCAUAAUUUUGACCUUAUUUCCAAAAUCUUGACUUUUUUUUAAAUUAAAAUCUUAUUUCAGUUUUAUUCUCAAACUCUUGACUUUAUUGUUGAAAUACCUACAUCAUUCUGCAACUUUAUUCUGACAAUACAAACACAUUUUUUUCCUAAUAUGGUCCUGGUACUCCUUUCUAAACUUUAAUGCCAGACAUUUAUUUUAAACAUGGCCAUAGUUUUAAAUAAUGGGAUGAAAACGUGUGAAAGCUGUACUUGUACACACAAAGCUCAGGCUUCAGUUUGUUUUUGGUGCUGCCCCUCUGCAGGCUCCCAUCAGUGGACCGAUUAGAAGAAGGCGGGCUUUCAGGGAUGAGGACAACCUUAAAGCGACGGCUUAAAAUGGCUCAUUUUAAGCAGAUUAGCCCAGAAGCUCCAAAAAGGGCCGGGAAAGGACAGUAAGGGCAUUAAUUUACUUUUAAAUCAGGUAAAACUGCUCUAGUGGAAAUAAUAUAGAGCUGAAAAUGAGCAUGACAGGCCCCCUUUAAUAUCUUAUCAGUUAAAGUGACUAAAGGACCAAUAAUUCAGUGUUUCAACCCCGCAGGUCAAAAAACGAUCAUUACAGAAAGUGGCCUGCUUCACUGUUGUUACGUAGCUCACAUACACUCACAAACACACACACAAACACACACACAGAGUUAAGGUACUGGACCAGUGUGAGUCUGCUGUCAAAAAGGCAACAUGUCCGCCCUGAGCAGCAGAUCAGGAGUCAGGUCGCCAUGCUGCUAUGGCAACAAGCCACCUAACAUCUUCCCAUUAUAUCUGUAUUCUUCCUGACUCCGCCCAGUUUGUUAGCUUUAGGCUAAUUUUAAUUACGGCAUUGCUAUCAGCACAGUAAGCUAACCUCUCGACCUGCUGCUACGCCCCCCAA